rnacentral:rRNA from 1 species
CCUACGGGAGGCAGCAGUGGGGGAUAUUGCACAAUGGGGGAAACCCUGAUGCAGCGACGCCGCGUGAGUGAAGAAGUAUUUCGGUAUGUAAACCUCUUUAGGCGGGGAGCAAUGCCGGGCACGCGUGCCCGGAGGGAGAGUACCCGCAGAAUAAGCAUCGGCUAACUCCGUGCCAGCAGCCGCGGUACUACGGAGGAUGCGAGCUGUAUCCGGAUUUAUUGGGUUUAAAGGGUGCGUAGGCGGAUUUUUAAGUCAGCGGUAAAAUGUCCGGGCUCAACCCGGGCCGGCCGUUGAAACUGGGGAUCUUGAGUGGGCGAGAAGUAUGCGGAAUGCGUGGUGUAGCGGUGAAAUGCAUAGAUAUCACGCAGAACUCCGAUUGCGAAGGCAGCAUACCGGCGCCCGACUGACGCUGAGGCACGAAAGCGUGGGGAUCGAACAGGAUUAGAUACCCGAGUAGUC